AACAAACCUAGUAAUAAUUUCCAACAUGAAUUUAUUUAUUUAUUUUUUCCCCAGGUAACAACUAAACACAUUUUGAUACUCUUCACUUAUCUCUGUCUGUCAACAAUCACUAAUGGGAAACCUACAGAUUAAGUAUUUGGUGGCUGGGACAGACGCCCACAGCGUGAAAAUACAGGGGGCUUGUCUGCGAGGACUGCGGGUUCCCGCACAGGCGUGUCACCUGACUGUCUAAGGGAAGUAUUGAUGGGCGAGGGAGCGGCUGACCUGUGAUCCCCUGGCUCUUCGCCCAGUGCCUCAGGCCCCAUGUGACUUGCUGGGGUUCUGUCUUUUGUCAUGCAACCCCUUUGACCAUCAGGGUUCUGAGUAGGUGCUGGCUCAGCAAUCCGAAGGUCAACCCUGUUACGACGGUACAGUGAUCCAUUCACUUCGACCAAGUAGGAGCGUGAUGCCACUUUCUGUACACAGGAUCCGAGUCUCCAGAGGCCCGUCCGGUCCCCUGAUAGUGGUUUCAUCCGCACCGUUUCACCCACCCUGAGCUCAGGUAAGUCUUUUGCUGAUUUGUCAUAGAUGAACUUGGAGACCUGUCUUCUGUGACGUAGCUUCACCAGCACGUCUGUCACCACACAUGGCUCCAGGAGAGUGCUGGCUACUGGCAGAGCUGCUUUUAAGCGCCGUGCCAUGAGGCGCUGGGCCGGGCUGCUAUCCAUGCCUUCUGUCGGGGUAUUGCGCCACUGCAGGAUUGCUUUCCAGGCAUAUUUGCCCUCUCGCAGAGCUUUUUUGCAGAGGUUCUUUGCAAUUUUGACUGCGGACUCCGCCUUCCCAUUAGCUUUUGUGUGUCGCGGUGAUGAAGUGACGUGCUCGAAUUCCCAGUCUGCAGCAAAUUUUCGGAACUGAACUCCGGAGAAUUGGGGUCCAUUGUCUGAAAUUACCCUAUCUGGCUGGCCAUAGCGGGCAAACUGAGCCUUGCAGCGUUUGAUCGUUGUCUCUGCUGAGAGGUUGGGGAGGAGGUCAAUCUCCCAGAAGUCUGAGUAAUGGUCGACUACCAGCAGAAUGUGCAUUUACUGACAUAGUCUUUGAUUUCACUCUGCAUUCUUGGCCAAUACAGUGUGUCACGUGCUUGUCUGUAACAGGCCUCACCUCCUGUGUGACUUGAGUGCACGCGCGCCAACAUCUCAAGGCGCAGAGACCGGGGAAUAACGACCCUCUGACCCUUGAAUAUUACUCCGUUUUGAACACUGAGCUCCUCUUUGACUGGCCAAUAAUCUCUGACGGCUAAAGCAGUUUCUUCCUUGCAGUCGGGCCAGCCCAUCAGAAUCACAGACCUCAAUGCCUGGAGUUGCUCGUCCCUGUCUGUGUGCUGUCUGAUUUGUAUAAGGCGCUGGUCCGUGACAUUGAGGUAGUCAGCCUGGUUGAUGUGUUCAACAUCAACUUGCUCUGUUUGUAAGCUGCACACUGCGUGUCAUUCAUGCAUGGAGUGUGUGUGAGUGCCUGAUGCAGUAGCCCUGCUGAGUGUGUCACUCACAUACAUCUCUGGCCCUGGCUUAUACACCACCUUGAGGUUGUAGUUUUGUAGGGCCAGUAGCAUGCUUCGUAGUUGUUUCGGGGCAUUCAGGAGAGGCUUGCUGAAUAUAGCAAUAAGGGGCUUGUGAUCUGUCUCUGCGGUAAUAUUGUCGCGCCCCCGCAGAGUGACAAACCACUUUUGUCCUUUUGCCCUCACUGCCCCUAUGCACUCGCUAGCAUAUACAUCCUCUGUGCUGUUGUUCCCAGCAUCUGUGUUUGUUUCAAUGGAGUGCACUUUACCCUCCUUUCUCUUGCUUUUCAUGCAGACCCUUGUAGCUGCCUUUUCCCUUAGCCUAGUGACAAAGCUGUCAAUGGACUCCCCGUCCUCCUGUUUGCAACACCCGAAAACAUAACGCUCGUAGAUAACGUUCUUUGCUGGCUUAAAGUAAUGUUCAAGAGCAUCAAGAAUAGCUGUAGCGUUACCUUGCUGAGCUGCUGUUAGGUUCAGGUUGUGUUUGUAUACGUGUCGGCAUUCAGUUCCCAUUAUAGUCCUCAAAGUGGCAGCCACUACCUCAUCGUCCUUUUCCAGAAGUCCUGUUGCUAGUGCAUAGUCCUCCCAUUCACCUCUAAACGUAUCCCAGUUUGUGCUCCAAUCUCCGCUGAGCUUCAUGACGGCGGGAGGGAGAAUGUUCGCUGCCAUGUCUAACCGGUGCUAACAACACUGAAGCUAACUAGCAAACUCACUCUAGCUAAGGACAAUUCCGGCGACCGGCGAAGUUUUACUCAAAUAAGCAUUUUGGGGGGGUAAACCAGAACAGGUGACUCUAAUUUGCGGAAAGCAUGGUUAGUUAUCCGACUCUGACACCAUGUUUGAAUGUUAAAUGACGAGACAGAGGCAUUGACGCGAGUAACCAGUCUUGCUUGUUCAGUAUAUUGCAAUACAUCCGGGUAUUUCAAGCACACCGGUAACACUGGAGUUGCAGUAAUUAACAUUUACCAACAGAUGGCAUUACUGUGCCAUCUUACACCCAUAACAACAUGCACCAAACGUGUCACAGCUUCGUAAAAAGCGUUGCCUACCGCGGUCUUUGAAAUGAAAGCUGUCAGGCGAGAGCGGCCCCCACACACAGACAGUUUUUCCUCGGAGAAACGCACUAGAGACCUAGUUGAGACUCACGGGAUUUUGGAAAGAAAUUAGACGAUAUUAUUUUCAUUUUAGGAAAGAAACCAAACUAUUUUUGUGUUUUUUUCCGAGACACCCGAGGACAGCCACAGAGUUCCCUGGCGCGGAGAAAGUAACAUCUUCAACUGGCGACGACAGAGGGACACCACCGGAGGAGUCAUUCCAAGCAACUCUGCUCAAACAAAUGGAUUGGAGAGUUAUAUUUGUCUGCGCAGUAGCAUGGCAUGUUUCACUGGUGUCACAAUCUUAUGCCACAGGUGGUGUGAAUACAUCUCUCUCUACAGCUCAGAGCAACUUGUCUCUGUGUUUCACCUGCAACGGUGAGAGAUGUCAAGAUGUGAAAAAGAUUUUCAACUCAAUGAGAGAUGACAAAAUUUGGACGCAAAGUACUGCAACGUCUGCCCUUCUUGGCUGUUCCCUGACCUCGUCUCCCUUUGCUGGGAAGUGUGUGCCAUGUGUUGAGGACCGCAAGGUCUACAUUGUUUGCCUUGACAUGCCCAAGGAUCUCAAACUGGACCUGGAGGAUGGUGAUGGCAACUCAUUUUCCUACACUGAAGCUACAUGCCCUAGACUGACGGCGUCUAGAGCUGUAGGUCACGCUGGACACAACAGUGGAGUCAGAGGUCUUGCUGGGCAUGGUGGAGCAAUGAUCAGCAUUGGCAUGUUAGCAGCUGCCGUCAUCUUUGUCGCUUACUACAGAAGCCAGACCAAAUCAAGUAUUGUCUAGUGUCAACUUCAGAAGUCCACUCAGAGGAACACCAGACCCAUUUAAAGUUAUUAAAGACUGUCACGUCUACUGCUCCCCCUCUCCGGCGCACAGAGGGAGGGGGGCAGAACAUGAGACAGAGCUGCAUUUCAUGACAAAAUGUGAAAAAUAUAAAACAAUUAGAGAGUGUAAUUUCCCCAAAUUUGAAACCCUUAUUCAAGGUUUCAAAGACCUCUCUGGUGAGAGGCUACCCUUCCUGUUGGGGGAAAGACGCAGAGAGCUGGGGGUUGGCAGCGCACUACAUUGCUGCCUGCCAUAAGAUGAGGGACAGUGUCUGACAGACCAAUCAACCUGCACAUGUCCUCUACUGUAUGCUUAUUGUUUAAUGUAUGGUUAUUUUGACCCUUGGUUAUUGUUGUUACUGUUGUCCCGUUGACAAUUUUGAUUUAUUAUUUUCAUGUUGUAAAUAUCCAAAAUAAGCUUUGGCAAUAUGUACAUUGUUACGUUAUGCCAAUAAAGUGAAUUGAAUUGAAUUGAGAGACACACACACACACACAGACACAGAGAGAGAGAAACAGAGAGAAACAGAGAGGGGGGAGGGAGAGAGAGCACAGGGGGGAGGGGG
rnacentral:lncRNA from 1 species